GCCUCGGUGAUGCAGUGGUAUCAGCACGCGUCCCAGGUAUGGACGAGAUGCGGGUUCAAUUCUCGCCUGAGGUC